rnacentral:rRNA from 1 species
CAAUAGCGUAUAUUAAAGUUGUUGCAGUUAAAAAGCUCGUAGUUGGACCUUGGACCUGGACAGGCGGUCCGCCUCACGGCGUGUACUGUCUUGCUGGGUCUUUCCUCUUGGUGAUCUGUUGUUUCGGCAGCAGGGAACCAGGACUUUUACCUUGAAAAAAUUAGAGUGUUCAAAGCAGGCUCGACGCCGGAAUAUAUUAGCAUGGAAUAAUAAAAUAGGACGUGCGGUUCUAUUUUGUUGGUUUUUGGAAUCGCCGUAAUGAUUAAUAGGGACAGUCGGGGGCAUUAGUACUCACAUGCUAGAGGUGAAAUUCUUGGAUUUUGUGAAGACUAACUUCUGCGAAAGCAUUUGCCAAGGAUGGUUUCAUUAA